AUUGAACGCUGGCGGCAUGCCUACACAUGCAAGUCGAACGGCAGCACGGGAGCAAAUCCUGGUGGCGAGUGGCGAACGGGUGAGUAAUAUAUCGGAACGUGCCCAGUCGUGGGGGAUAACGUAGCGAAAGCUACGCUAAUACCGCAUACGAUCUAUGGAUGAAAGCGGGGGAUCGCAAGACCUCGCGCGAUUGGAGCGGCCGAUAUCAGAUUAGGUAGUUGGUGAGGUAAAGGCUCACCAAGCCGACGAUCUGUAGCUGGUCUGAGAGGACGACCAGCCACACUGGGACUGAGACACGGCCCAGACUCCUACGGGAGGCAGCAGUGGGGAAUUUUGGACAAUGGACGCAAGUCUGAUCCAGCCAUUCCGCGUGCAGGAUGAAGGCCCUCGGGUUGUAAACUGCUUUUGUACGGAACGAAAAGGUUUCUAUUAAUACUAGGAGCUCAUGACGGUACCGUAAGAAUAAGCACCGGCUAACUACGUG
rnacentral:rRNA from 1 species